AGAGUUUGAUCAUGGCUCAGGAUAAACGCUGGCGGCGUGCUUCAGGCAUGCAAGUCGAACGGACCUUCGGGUCAGUGGCGGACGGGUGAGUAACACGUAAGCAACCUGCCCAGAAGUGGGGAAUAACCCACCGAAAGGUGAGCUAAUACCGCAUGUGAUGGAUCUUCCCUGGAGGGUUCAUUAAAGGCUUCGGUCGCUUUUGGAGGGGCUUGCGUUCGAUUAACUAGUUGGUGGGGUAACGGCCUACCAAGGCAACGAUCGAUAGCUGGUCUGAGAGGACGGUCAGCCACACGGGGACUGAGAUACGGCCCCGACUCCUACGGGAGGCAGCAGCUAGGAAUCUUGGGAAUGGGCGAAAGCCUGACCCAGCAACGCCGCGUGGGCGAUGAAGGCCUUAGGGUCGUAAAGCCCUUUUGUGGGGGACGAUGAUGACGGUACCCCGCGAAUAAGCCACGGCUAACUACGUGCCAGCAGCCGCGGUAAUACGUAGGUGGCGAGCGUUGUCCGGAUUUACUGGGCGUAAAGGGCGCGCAGGCGGUUUGUUUAGUCUAGGGUGAAAGCUCCCGGCUUAACUGGGAGAGGUCCUUGGAUACUGGCAGACUCGAGGGAGGCAGAGGAAAGUGGAAUUCCCGGUGUAGUGGUGAUAUGCGUAGAUAUCGGGAGGAACACCGUGGCGAAGGCGGCUUUCUGGGCCUUACCUGACGCUGAGGCGCGAAAGCGUGGGGAGCGAACCGGAUUAGAUACCCUAGUAGUCC
rnacentral:rRNA from 1 species